CGUGAGGUGUACCCUUAAGUGGGGUAACGAGCGCAACCCCUGUCGUGUGUUAUACUUUCACACGAGACUGCCUUCGUAAGAAGGAGGAAGGAGGGGAUGACGUCAAAUCAGCAUGGCCCUUACGUCCAGGGCAACACACAUGAUACAAUGGCCGGUACAGCGAGAUGCCAAGUCGCGAGACGGAGCAAACCUCUAAAAACCGGUCCCAGUUCGAAUUGGAGUCUGCAACUCGACUCCAUGAAGCCGGAAUNNUGUACUCACCGCCCGUCACGUCAAGAGAGUUGGUGGUGCCCGAAGGUCGUUGUAGGACGGCCGAAGGCAAAAUCAGCAAUAGGGACGAAGUCGUAACAAGGCAUCCGUAGCGGAAGCUGUGGAUGGAUCACCUCCUUUCU
rnacentral:rRNA from 1 species